CGCCAGAGUACAGCACUGUAUGUUAGGUACCUACACAAAAGCUUCGCCGCCUUUUGUUAUGUCAAUUAAAGUUUGGUUUAGUGUUCUUUAUUAACCCUUUCAUUAUGUAAGCAUUCGUUUGUGAAAAUAUACAACAAUGAAGCAUAUUCGGGUGCCGAAAUAUUGUGAAAAAUCGUUUUCCAUAAAAACGGUCGAAUAGAAGCUCAGAACACUUCACACGUGAAGACUUAUUAAAAUAUGGACUUAAUACAGGUUUAUUUUUUACGCUGACCACGGACUUCGCGGCGUCACAGCACCGAAUGAAAGAGAUCGUUACCUGCACGCGCUGCAAGGCAAGCUGCCUCUGGUACUGCAGAUACUCGUGCUUCUUCUUCCUCAUGGCCUGCAGCUUGGCGGCCAUCUGCAUCUGUCGCUGGCGAUCCACCGCCUCGGCCUGCGCCGCGAGCCUGGCAGCGUGCUCGGCACGCAGCGUGUCCAGCGCCGCGCGGCUGUCGCGGACCUGCGUCACUUUGUCCUGACAGACAGUUAUCGUACUAACAUCAUUGUCCUGCGAGGCGAUGGAGGAUGGUGCGGGGGCGGUGGGGGCGGCGGGGGCGGCGGAGUCGCGCGACAGCCGCUGUUCCCAGUAGUUUCUGUCGAGGU